AAGAGCGUAGUAUAACGGUAGUAUUGCAACCUCCAAAGUUGUUUGUAGGGGUUCGAUUCCUCUCGCUCUUG